rnacentral:rRNA from 1 species
GACGGAGGGUGCAAGCGUUGUUCGGAUUUACUGGGCGUAAAGGGCGUGUAGGCGGUCGGCCAAGUCUGAUGUGAAAGCCCGAGGCUCAGCCUCGGAAGUGCGUCGGAAACUAGUCGGCUGGAGCGCGAUAGAGGAGGGUGGAAUUCCUGGUGUAGCGGUGAAAUGCGCAGAUAUCAGGAGGAACACCGGUGGCGAAGGCGGGUCUCUGGGCCGGAACUGACGCUGAGGAGCGAAAGCGUGGGGAGCGAACAGG